GACGAACGCUGGCGGCGUGCUUAACACAUGCAAGUCGAACGGUAAGGCCCCUUCGGGGGUCCACGAGUGGCGAACGGGUGAGUAACACGUGAGCAACCUGCCCUUGACUCUGGAAUAACAGUUGGAAACAGCUGCUAAUACUGGAUAUUCAUCGUCUCCUUCCUGGGGGGUGGUGGAAAGCUCCGGCGGUCAGGGAUGGGCUCGCGGCCUAUCAGCUUGUUGGUGAGGUAAUGGCUCACCAAGGCCUCGACGGGUAGCCGGCCUGAGAGGGCGACCGGCCACACUGGGACUAAGAUACGGCCCAGACUCCUACGGGAGGCAGCAGUGGGGAAUAUUGCACAAUGGGCGCAAGCCUGAUGCAGCAACGCCGCGUGCGGGAUGACGGCCUUCGGGUUGUAAACCGCUUUCAGUAGGGACGAAGGGUGACUGACGGUACCUACAGAAGAAGGACCGGCUAACUACGUG
rnacentral:rRNA from 1 species